rnacentral:misc_RNA from 1 species
AUGGGGGCAUCAGCAUCUUUACACUGGACUGGCGGACGAAAUGCGCGUGCGCCAGCGUACAUCUUCAGUACAAGCACGAAGGGAACAAGCGUGCAUACAGAUUAGGUGAGGUCGUUGCCAUGCUUGGGAUUCAGUCGUGUUACACCGCAUUGGCGGUUCCCACCAUCGUCGUUGGCGUCUUCGUGGCCACUCGCAAGCGCCUAGCGUACCAGUGGAGAGAGGAGCUGAUGGAUCCGGAUGGCACCGCGUACCCGACCAUGACGGAUGCCGACAUGGAAUUCUUUCGCCGCGUCGCACCGGCCAGUGCUGUGGCAGCGGCUGAGGCGGUCGCGGCACCGCUGCAGCGGCCGCGAGCCAAACCACAACACACACCUGCAGCCCAUGCGGCAACAGAGGGGGCACACGGCGUCGCCCUCACGGCAAAGGAGAACAUCGGGGUGUGCGUGCGAAGCAAUGUUCUGCCCCCGGAGAUGCGAAACGUUUUGCUUAACGAGGUUCAGCGCUGGUCGCAGACGCUCGGCAACACCGUGGAUCCGCGCAAGAUCCGCGCUGUUGAACGAUCAGUGCAACUGGCGAUCGCGAGGGAGGCGCUGGAAAGCGGCGAGGUGGACGCGCGCGCCUCGUCCAAUCCCAGCGCAGGGUCGUCGACGCCGCUUGACUUUGGAUUCCUGAAGCAUACGCGGGUCAUUGCGGACCAUCCCGAGGACAUCCAGCUCAUGAAGGCACCGUGGGGCUCUGGAGACCGCAUUCGCCUCGCGGAAAUGCCGGCCUCUCUGCGCUACCUCGUUGAACGUACUCGGCAAACGUUCGAGGGUAUAGGCCGGUUGAGGCACGUCUACAUUGAGUACUCGCCGACAGGCAAGUUCUACCGAGCACCUCGACCGCCGAAGAUGUAUGAUGGCCACGACUACGUUGUCAUCCCACUUCGACGUGACCAGGGUGACACGGUUGUGACGAUGAGCCCGGUGCUACGCUCGCGAGUGAGUGAUUUGCGCGAGGUUGUGCAGAACUCGUGGACCAAUCGAGACGUGGAUGUGCUGCUGCCGAGCGGGUGUAUGCUGCGUGUGUAUGGCACCGCGCGGUAUGAGUGGGGAUGGGGGAUUCGACCGGGGCCCACGUGGUUUGGGAGUCGGCUGAAUCCACUCAGUCCUGCAAAGGCGGCCAGAUUGGACGUGGACCCUUGCGCUGGACUCUUGUACCGGUUGAGGCACAGACUACAGGCGUACCUAGGGAUGCAGCAGGCCUCUAUAGCCCUCCACCCACCAAGCUGUAGUGCCCCGACCGACGCGGCGCUGGUCGUGCUGCACUAUGAAGGGCCUCGCUCGUCCACAAAGCAGCGCUCCCUCUUGCUGGAGCCAGAGAUCUGGACCUUUGGCCGCGCACCGUCUGUCGAGUCUUUUGAAACGUGGACCGAAGAUCGCCCCACAGCCGACGCCGUUGGUGAGGAGGGUCUCCUAUGGUUUAUGACGCGCAACUACUUGGAUAUGCUCACGGUGAGCUAGCUGUACACCCCAAAGGAUUUUCAGAACGUUAGUACGACGAUGAUAGCACGCUAGCGGCGAAUAUCGACGAUCCCCCGUGGGUGGCGGCGGUUGGCUAGUACAUAUGCGCAUUUUGUGUGAGAGCGCGUGUGCGAAGUCUGCAGAG